UACGGAGGGAGCUAGCGUUGCUCGGAAUUACUGGGCGUAAAGCGCACGUAGGCGGCUUUGUAAGUUAGAGGUGAAAGCCCGGGGCUCAACUCCAGAACUGCCCUUGAUACUGGCGGCCUCGAGUCCGGGAGAGGUGAGUGGAACUGCGAGUGUAGAGGUGAAAUUCGUAGAUAUUCGCAAGAACACCAGUGGCGAAGGCGGCUCACUGGCCCGGUACUGACGCUGAGGUGCGAAAGCGUGGGGAGCAAACAGG
rnacentral:rRNA from 1 species